UGUCUCACACAGGCAGAGGUUCAAAUUGCAAUUUAAAUUUCAGUUUACGGAAAGGGUGGGACAAGUUUUCUUUCUUAUGAUUGGCACCUCAGAGCGCUUCUCAGUCUUCAUUUUGAGUAAACAACAUCCGCUGUUCCAACCAAUCAGAAGUGAGAUGGGCGGAGCAGUAUCAGCCGCCCAAUCAGCGUGUCGUCUACCGACGUUGGUUGGCGUGUGACGUCAUUGGCCUCGAACGACGACGGAGAGGAGAGCAGCCAAGCGGUGGAGAAAUGGUCGGAAAAAACAGUCAAACUACGGGGAAAACUAAUGUUUGAGUCGUCGCUUGGUUUGUUAGCGCUGUGAAGAACUUCAUUACUGAAGAAGUCAGGAUGCUGGAGCUGUUUUUGUCAACACGAGUGAGGUUGGACGCUGAAGGUCUGCUUGUUCUGCUGUCGCAACCUGGACGGAAAUAGCAGCUCUCACUUUACAGACUAUAGAGGUGUCACCACUUUGUCCACAAACAUAGAGUGUCUUUGUACAUUGAAGAAGUUCUUUGAGACCAGGACAGAGACCUCCAGGAUUCAACCAUUAAAUCACAGAGAGACAGACGUGAAGACAUUUCUAGAAGGUUUUCAGCUGCCGUCAUCUACUCCUGCAGAGACAAGAACAUGUGUUAAUCAUACAUCUCAGCAUCACAUAUUUUACUGUUUUACUGUUACUGUUUUUUUUUCUAUUAUUAUAGUCACAGUAAUGACUAGAAAUGGCUCUGAAACAAUAUAAAAUAACAACCUACUGUAAUUACUACAUAAUUAUCUCUCAAAUUUCACAGAGGUAAAUAUGACGCAUGUAAUAAAU